GACGAACGCUGGCGGCGUGCUUAGCACAUGCAAGUCGAACGGAAAGGCCCUGCCUUUGUGGGGUGCUCGAGUGGCGAACGGGUGAGUAACACGUGAGUAACCUGCCCCUGACUUUGGGAUAUCUUCAGGAAACUGGGGCUAUUACCGGCUAGGAGCUCCUGCUGCUUGGUGGGGGUUGGAAAGUUUCGGCGGUUGGGGAUGGACUCGCGGCUCAUCGGCUUGUUGGUGGGGUAGUGGCUUACCAAGGCUUUGACGGGUAGCCGGCCUGGGAGGGUGACCGGCCACAUUGGGACUGGGAUGCGGCCCAGACUCCUACGGGAGGCAGCAGUGGGGAAUGUUGCACAAGGGGCGGAGGCCUGGUGCAGCAACGCCGCGUGCGGGAUGACGGCCUUCGGGUUGUAAACCGCUUUCGCCUGUGACGAGGCGUGAGUGACGGUAAUGGGUAAAGAAGCACCGGCUAACUACGUG
rnacentral:rRNA from 1 species